rnacentral:rRNA from 1 species
UACGUAGGGUGCAAGCGUUAAUCGGAAUUACUGGGCGUAAAGCGUGCGCAGGCGGUUGUGCAAGACAGAGGUGAAAUCCCCCGGGCUUAACCUGGGAAUGGCCUUUGUGACUGCACGGCUAGAGUGUGUCAGAGGGGGGUAGAAUUCCACGUGUAGCAGUGAAAUGCGUAGAGAUGUGGGAGGAAUACCGAGUGGCGAAG